rnacentral:rRNA from 1 species
GACGAACGCUGGCGGCGCGCUUAACACAUGCAAGUCGAACGGAAAGGCCCUGCUUUUGUGGGGUGCUCGAGUGGCGAACGGGUGAGUAACACGUGAGUAACCUGCCCUUGACUUUGGGAUAACUUCAGGAAACUGGGGCUAAUACCGGAUAGGAGCUCCUGCUGCAUGGUGGGGGUUGGAAAGUUUCGGCGGUUGGGGAUGGACUCGCGGCUUAUCAGCUUGUUGGUGGGGUAGUGGCUUACCAAGGCUUUGACGGGUAGCCGGCCUGAGAGGGUGACCGGCCACAUUGGGACUGAGAUACGGCCCAGACUCCUACGGGAGGCAGCAGUGGGGAAUAUUGCACAAUGGGCGGGAGCCUGAUGCAGCAACGCCGCGUGCGGGAUGACGGCCUUCGGGUUGUAAACCGCUUUCGCCUGUGACGAAGCGUGAGUGACGGUAAUGUGUAAAGAAGCACCGGCUAACUACGUG